CCUACGGGCGGCAGCAGUGGGGAAUAUUGCACAAUGGGGGAAACCCUGAUGCAGCGACGCCGCGUGAGUGAAGAAGUAUCUCGGUACGUAAAGCUCUAUCAGCAGGGAAGAAAAUGACGGUACCUGACUAAGAAGCCCCGGCUAACUACGUGCCAGCAGCCGCGGUAAUACGUAGGGGGCAAGCCUUAUCCGGAUUUACUGGGUGUAAAGGGAGCGUAGACGGCAGCACAAGUCUGGAGUGAAAUCCCGGGGCUUAACCCCGGACCUGCUUUGGAAACUGGGCGGCUGGAGUGCAGGAGGGGAAAGCGGAAUUCGUAGUGGAGCGGUGAAAUGCGUAGUUAUUAGGAGGAACACCGGUGGCGAAGGCGGCUUACUGGAGUGUAACUGACGUUGAGGCUCGAAAGUGCGGGGAGCAAACAGGAUUAGAUACCCCGGUAGUC
rnacentral:rRNA from 1 species